rnacentral:rRNA from 1 species
CGUACGGUAGCUACCUUUUGCUAGAAAAAUAGCCUGAGAAACUUAGAUUAAUGUUCUAUAGUAUACAGAUCGCAUGAUUCUGUUAUUAAAAGUAGCAAUACGGCAAAAGAUGGGCGUGCGUCCGAUUAGUUAGUUGGUAAGGUAAAGGCUUACCAAGACAGUGAUCGGUAGGGGGCCUGAGAGGGUGAUCCCCCACACUGGUACUGAGACACGGACCAGACUCCUACGGGAGGCAGCAGUGAGGAAUAUUGGUCAAUGGAGGAAACUCUGAACCAGCCACGCCGCGUGCAGGAAGAAUGCCUUACGGGUUGUAAACUGCUUUUGUUUAGGAAUAAAAAAUUCUUACGUGAUAAGGAUUGUGAAUGUACUAUACGAAUAAGUGUCGGCAAACUCCGUGCCAGCAGCCGCGGUAAUACGGAGAACACGAGCGUUAUCCGGAUUUAUUGGGUUUAAAGGGUGCGUAGGCGGUUUAUUAAGUCAGUAGUGAAAUAUUGCAGCUUAACUGUUAAAAUGGCUAUUGAUACUGAUAGACUUGAGUGAGAUUGGAGUAGCUGGAAUGUGUGGUGUAGCGGUGAAAUGCAUAGAUAUCACACAGAGCACCGAUCGCGAAAGCAGGUUACUAAGUCUAUACUGACGCUGAGGCACGAAAGCGUGGGGAACAAACAGGAUUAGAUACCCUGGUAGUCCACGCCGUAAACGAUGAUCACUAGUUGUUGGAUUUAUUUCAGUGACUUAGCGAAAGUGAUAAGUGAUCCACCUGGGGAGUCCG